CCAAUUCCCAAAAGCAGCCGUUUCCCUCUCCCCAAAAAGAUCUAAUUGGAAAAGGAUGUAAUUCCAUUCCACAAAAUCUCCCUCGCCUCCCUUCAUAACUCUGUUGUUCCCCUCUCAGCUCCCACAUUAUUACUUUAUGAUAUAAAACAAAAGGAACAAACAAAUCUCUACAAAAAACCAAUCAUUAGAACAAACAAACAUAAUCCCCAAAAAAAAAGGUAAAAAAACAGACUCCUCCUAUUUUAUGCGAACACAGCGCCCAACCCCUUUCUUUCUUAGAUUUCCAGCCGGAAAAUCCAAAGAAACGGCGACACUUGCUUUCAACAAAACUGCCACUACAGUGAAGUUGCACUAAAGUUCCGUCCGUCGAGUUCGCUGCCAUCGUUGGAGUCUCGGUCAUGGUUCAGUGAUUCAACGGUCAUCGACUUUUUGUCGGAGUUUGUCUCUGUUGCUAUAUAAUUUGCUUUGGAGAUAAUUUUAUCAAAAGGUUCGCCUCUCAAACUUGUUCUUAACUUCAUACAUUAGUGUUAAUUUUAAUAAAUGUUAAAUCAAGUUUGUGCUUAUUUUGUGAUAGAAUGCCUUUUCUUUAGUUUACUAUGUUGUUUGCUAUGAUGUCUACUAGAUUUGAUGUGUUAAGCAUAUUAAAAUGGUGUCAGUUUGCUUUUUUUUUUUUAUAUAGUUUUAUUAAUAUUGGCUAUGACUCUUUUAUUUGUAGUUUAAAUGCAAAUGAAUAUAAAUAUUGGGAAUGAAGGCAAAGUUAUAGAGUACAGUUUUCGAGGCCAAGAGGAGUUCGAUGUUUAGUCUUUUAGGAAUUAUAUAGCAAUUAGGCAGUUGCCUAUUUACCCAUUGUUACGUGUAUUUAGUGAAAGGAAUAUUUCAAAUCAAUAAUAGUUUCCAUUCAGGUGUAAAAAAAAAAUGGGGCAAAGCUAUCAUGUAAGAUCUUUGAAGCCUACAGUUUUAUAUUAGGCUACUAAUGUGUACAAUAACAUCUAAUGUAAGGCAAAAAAUGAAAUAAUUUUAGUAAUAUAAACAAAGUGCGUCAUCUCAUUAAGAUGCGACGUACACUAUUGGAAUUAAUUAGCUUUAGGAAAAUAGCUAAUGAACAUUCGUAGAAAAUGCUUUAGGCGCGACUUAAUAAAUCAUCGUAAUUGUGUACGUGUUCGCAUGACAUAAUUAAGAUUUUUAAAAUAAAUCGAGCUAGGUAUGCGUUCUCGCAACUUUGACCAAACUUUCUUAAUAUUAAUAAAGCUUGAUUAAUUGUGGACACGUAUGCGUGACAUGAUUCUUGGCGCGCCAGACGAAAUGAGUACACAUACGAGUGACUCAUUUUAAGAUGAUUCCGUAACUAUGAAUAACCAAACAAUGAAUACACGUACGUGUGAUUCAUUUCAAAUUAAAAAACGGUAAAAGGUAAAAGUUUACAUAGGUUAUAAAAUAUGUAAUUAAAAAAAUUUAUUAAGCCAGGUAUAACUAUUAAAGCGACCGUGCUAGAACCACGAAACUCGGGAAUGCAUAACACCUUCUCCCCGAUUAACAAAAUUCCUUACCCGAUUUUCUGUGUUUCGCAGACUGUAAAAUAGAGUCAACUUCCUCGAUUCAGGAUUUUAAACCGGUGACUUGGGACACCAUAAAUUAUCCCAAGUGGUGACUCUGAAUUUGAAUAAAUAAUCUCGUUUCGGUUAUUGUGACUUUAAUUGAAAAACUCCCUUAUACCCCCUUUCCUGGGUAGAAAAAGGAGGUGUGACAGCUUUGGCGACUCCGCUGGGGAUAAGAACCCUGAAUCUCUGGUUCAGGGUUCAGAAUUUGAGCUUGUUAAUAUGAUAUAUGCUUGGCUUUAUUGUUUAUUGAUAUUACUGUAUUUGUGGACCUAAUGUGCUAAUUGUCGCUUAUUUACCGCUUUAAUAUUAUUUGAACUCUAUUAAAACUGUCUCCUUACGCCUACCUUCUGAGUCUUCUAAAAAUAUAGACACACGUUCGCGUGGCCCACUUUUUUGUUAGAAGUCAUACCAAAUAGAAUGAGGCUUGGGUCAACAACUAGGUCGGGUAGACUUUCGUGCUCCCGGUACGCUGCCCCCAUCUCGGCUUGAGUUGUCCGCUUGGGUAAGUCAGGUUUAGAACACAACCCCAGGUUUAAACUUAGAAAAACAUAACCUCAUGCCGGAUCCCUAGUAGGAACGUUUGUUUGCAUCGCGUGCAUUUGACUUUGGGGACUCAACACAUAGGUUGGGUCCGUCUAGAACAGAUGUACACAAAAUGAAAGACCAUGCUGAUGCACCUUACGUGCUAUUUGUACAUUUAUUUGCUUCGGUUUGUAUGUUGAUCGGCUAAGGAAAGAAAAAUAACAGAAAAACCAAGAGUGAGGUAGGAUAGAGAAUUCACCCGAUUCUGAAAAUUUCGAUUUUUUGAAAAUGUCUCGAAACUCUGUCAAAAUUUUUUUAAAAAAAGGGAAAAGAAAAUGUAUUUCAAAAAAAAUGAAAGUGAGUCAAUAUUAUGUUUUUUCAAUUAUGUCAAAACUGACCGAAUUACGCGAGUCUGAUUCUCACCGAAUGUGAGAUACGUAGGCAAACCUUAUCGGUUCGGACUCCAAUUUUCAAAAAAUCCAAAAAUAUUUUCCAUUACUUCCUUCUUUAGAAAGUCUUUCUUUUAGACCCCAAUUUUUAAAAAAUACAAAAUAUUUUCUUUAAUUUCUUCUCAAAAUCCAAAAAUAUUUUCAUUCUUCUUUCAAAAAUUGAAAAGUAAAUUCAAGAUGCAAAAACAUUUUCUUUUUUCUUUAGAAGUAUUUCUUUCAUAAAUUCAAAAUAAAAGUACAAAAAUUCAAAAAAAUCUUUCGUCUUUAGAAGUCUUUCUUUUCAAAAAUUCUUUUUAAAACAAAAAUCAAAAUUCAAAAAUAUUUUCUUUCUUCUUUAUAAAUCUUUCUUCGGAAAUUAAAAAAAAUCAAAAUCCAAAAAAAAGUUAGUUUAUUUACUUUAUUCAUGAUCUUCCCGAACUGUGCAAGAUCUGAUUCAUGUUCCCACAUGAUACGUAGGCAACCCACAUCGAGUUCGAUUGAAUGGUUAAAAACCAAAAAGAAAGAAAAACCAAAAAAAAAGGAGAAAGGAGAGAAAACAAAAAAAAAGAAAAGAGAAAAAAAAGGAAAAAAAAGAAAGAGUGUUUAUUCUAACAUGGUUGUUGUUUUGAAAUAAAAGCUAGUCAAAGGUGGUCGGUUUGUUGGUUUGCAAUGGCGAGUCACAAAAGCCAUCCAAGAUCUCUCGAAAAUAAAAGCAUCUUCUCAACCGAUGGAGCAAACACCAUUGUUGUUGAUCCAAGGUCACGAAAAGGCAAGUAGGUAAGUUGGCGGUGAAAAAUAAAAAAAUGGAGGCAAAUGUAGGGUUGACUUUACCCGAUUUGACCAAUAGGACAUGGGCUGCUCGGGAUGAUUGUCAAAAUUUGAGUGUUGAAUCCAAAACAAUUAAAAUGGUCAAAUGCCGUAGUAAUGCUGAUGUGCGAAUGUAUGGCUAAGAUGUCGCUUAGUAACUCGAAAGUCACUCCUCCUUUAGCCAUGGUAGCUUAUUUUGUCGUCUUUUCUUCUUCUUUUUGUGUUAUCAGACCCUACUAUCCUUUAUUUAAUAAAAAGCAGUCAGUCAUUUUGUGCAUAGUUUGUUUCACGCUAGUUUUAGUGACAUGACAUGCAUGCGGAAUUUUUGGCCAGAUCUUAGAAAAUUGAUUUAAGCUUGAAUUGGACAACUGAGGAAAAGACACUUUUGAGGAUGAAAAAGAGUUGAAAUACCUUGGAAUUAAGCCCAAGUAAAAUUCAAGUGGAACUAAAAUAGUCAGACCCAUGGAGGUUAAGAAAAUUCACCUUCAAAUCAUUGUGAAGAUCGGGCUUGAGGAUGUCUAAUCAAUUGAAGUUUGUUGGAAAGCUUGACACUAAGGGAUGGAAAGUUUCUUGUGACCACGACACACUAAGAAGACAGACAUGUUCGUUAAUGCUAUGAUCGCGAAAGGAUACUAUAAUUAGCGUUCUCGAGGUUGGGAGGCCUUUUUUCUGCUACCCAAACACUUUAUACCCUUUGUUACCCCUUUUGAGCCUGUGUAAUUUUCUUUGACCACCCUCUUUUGGAAUCAGGUUUAGAGUCAAAAGUCCAAAAAAAAAAAGAAAAAAAAAUAAUAACACUAAAGGUACAUGCCCCAAUAGUACAAACUGGGGCAGCUUUUAGAAAGUUCAAAUGAAAAAAGAAGAAGAAAAGAACAGUCAAAAACCCAUGCCCCUAGAAAAUAAGAGCUGGGGAAACUUGUUUUGAAAAACAAAGGAAAAAAAAAGAAAAAAGAAGGAAGAAAAAAAAGAAACAUAAAGAAAGAUGAAAAAUAGUUAGGUCAGAUGUUUGAACUAUGUUUGACCUGAUUCCUUAAAAAAAAGGAUAUGUAGGCAGCCUCACGGUUCGGUCUAACCCAAAUAUAAUUCAAAAAAAGAGGAAAAAGAAAAAGAGAAAAAAAUAAAAAAAACUCCCUAGUAUCUAAAACUGGGCAUGAGUUUGUUAUAAUUUUUAAACGAGGCGAUUCCAAGAGUUGUGAGUAUACAACCCCAUCAUCUUUAGUCUGUUUUGAGCCUUCAUGUCAUCCAUUCUUUCCAACCCUAUCCAAAAACCUUCUAAAUAAAGACCUCUUGAUCAGCCUUCAAGAAUGCCAAGAGACGCAUGCAAUGAGCAACAGUUGUCACGCGACAUAGAACACUGUCAAGUUGCUCACAAAAAACAAAAGAGAAAAAUGAGAGAGUCUUACUAGUGAAAACCCUCAUGGGCACUGUAAGGCGACAAUAAGCAGAGAUUGGCAAAUGAGAGAGAUUUAUUAGUGGAAACCUCUCGGGGCACCACUAGUCGAAAGUGAGUUGUGAAGCUGAUGCAAAGAAUUGACACGAACAAGCCCGACUUUAAAGGUCAUAAGAAUGAUAAAAAGGAAGAUUGGAUUAGUUUGAUAGAUUAGGCCGUUGAGUCCAAAAUGCAUGUCAUGACUAUUAAGGCUAGUUAUUGAAAAAAAAACUCUUCCUUCUGUUCUUCUGACAGGAACAUUUCUUGUUAAUACCUGUUUCUUUGCAUCAUUGUGUUAUUCACUCUCAGUCAGUCCUUGUCAAAACAAGCAAGAAAAGAUUUCAAAAUCUGCUACCAGCAUUUCAGUUGCAUAAAGUAAAUUUGGCCAGCACACUCAGUUAUUACUGUCAAUAUACCUUGAGGAUUCAUGCAAAGGCUUCCCCAAAAGACUCUUGUCAGUCUAUUGGGUGCCAGCAAAGAUAACCGGUGAUUCUCUCUGACAGACAAAUUGUUCAAAAAGCAGAAAGUCAUUCAAGAUAUCAGAAAAGGUCACCUAAGAGAAGAUCUCUAGUUGGGAUAAGGCUGAUUGAGCCACAAGUACAAAUGGUACUGAGUGUGAAACAAUUAGGGUUCAUACAGAGCAAAAGUCUCUUGAAAUCAACUCAAGUUGAUCGAGCAAAGGCCAAGCUGCUCAAGAUCAAGGCCACAAACUAACCACCACUUUCAAAACUAACAAAAUUUUCUUUGUUUGAUAUAGGAACAAAGCAAAGCAAAGCAAGGAAAGUGUUUCAAAUAAAAAGAAAAAAAAAGAAAGAAGAAAUGAAACGAAGAGAAGAGGCGACAAAGGGAAGUUUCUCAAAUCUUUGCCAUUAUUUGUCUUGCUAAUGUGCAUAAAAUAUUGCCAUUGCAC
rnacentral:lncRNA from 1 species